rnacentral:lncRNA from 1 species
GUCCGCACCGGGGCGCCCUGCGCACACCCUUACCGCCCGGCGGCGUCCGCCGACCCCGGAGUCCUGGCCCGGGGCGCGGGAGUCCGGAGGGCAGGACCGGGACGCUCGCGCUGGCCUCCCGUGCGGUGGCGUGCGUGAGCGUCCCUUCCACUUCGGCAGCCCGCACCGCCUCCGUAGCCUCCCAGGUCUGGCCUCCUGCCCCCCUCCGAGCCCCACCGCGCGCCGACCCGGAUCCCGGGCGCCUCACGGCGCGGCUGCCAGCUGGGCCUGGCGCCGAGGCUCGGGCCCCCAAGUUGUGGGAGGACGCCGGGCCUGUUGACACUUCCCUCGGACUCGGGGGAAGACUGUUACCAGAGGAGCCUCCUUCGGCACGAGCCUCGUCGCUGCCGCCUCGGGAAGGGAGGAGAGCGCAGCCGACCGGUGGCCUGACGCGGUCGCAUCACAGGUGUCUCAGUGGCCGCGCGCUUGGAGCAGGUCACAGACGUGCGCGCGGCGGCGAUCCGGGCUUCCCUGCGAGGCCGAGGCCCAGGCCGGCGGCCCGGUGCGUGGCGGGCGGCGAGGGGGCGCUGUGGCCCGCGACUGCGGCCUGCUGGGCUCCGCGCAGGGCAGGGCUCGCGUGGGAGAAGGAAGACACCGCGAGCGCUUCGGACCCGGCCGCUCCCACCGCUUCUGUUACUCUGGCCUUCCUUGGAGUGUGAGUUCGGUGAAAACAGAGCCACCAUCGUGGGCGGGUAGUUUUGCGGGCAGUUCAGGCUAAGUAAGCACAUUUCGCCUCGGCUCCCUUCAGUGAGGGAACGUGUAACCCGCGUGGCACUUCCCUCCGCCGCCGAGCCUCCUUCCCGGACUGCGGGCCCGCGUGGGCGUGGGGGAACGGCAAGAGGAGGGGGCGUGGCUUUGCAGUUUGCUUUUUCUUAAAACUGAAACUCCUCGUUACACAUCGUGCGAAAUCUGUCCGGCUGCAGCGUGUUCGCGACCCCCUCCUUCGAGGGCCAGCGGGCUGCACUUCGGGAUGGGAGCCAGCGGCCCCUGGGGAGGCGCGCCGUAUGGGUGCGUGGCGCCUGGACCCCUCCGCCCGAGGCAGCUCUCUUGGCAGCCCUGCCACGUGCAGCUGACCAUCUUCAGCCGCUGCGAGGGCUGCUCCUUGCGAACCUGCCGCUCCCGGUGUCCUCCUCCGCCUGGCGGACUCGGGCCUGUCCUCCUCCUCCACCUCCCUCAGCCCUGCGCCCCUCGGCGAUGACCUCGGGCGGGCUCUCCCGGCGGGUGCGGGCACCCUGGGCUGCAGAGCCGACCUUGCUUGGACGUGGACGGGCUGGAGUUCCUCUGAAGGAUCUGCAUUCCGGGAGACACUUUUAGGAACAGGAAGCCCGGCCCGGUUCUGGGCAGGCGGUAUCUGAGGACAACACCUUUGCCCUGCAGUGGAGCAGGCCGGGCCCACGCCCCAGAGCUCCCAGGGUGCUCUGGGCGAGUGGAGUCGUCGGGAUUUGUUUUGUUUUGUAAAAAUAUUUCUGCAAGACAGACCCCGGGAGAACGCAGCUCUGCGUGCAGCAGCCCUCGUGCAUUCCUGCUUCCGGACGCCAGAGCGCACCUCAGUGCAGGCCAGUGCAGCGCCCUGCUGCGGCACCGCGGGCCAUCCCCGGAGCAGGUAGGCAGACUCCGCCGCCGCCCGCCGGGAAGACGCGGGAAGCUCCGUCUGAUCGAGCAGUCAGGCCCUGAGGAGUGUUUGUCUGGGGCCGCGUUGCCCUUGGCCGCCCCUUAACUAGGUGUGCGCACCCAAAGCAGUUCGCCCUCCCCGUGGGCUGGGGUCGUGGUCCACACGAAUUCACCCUGCGCCCAAACUCCCCGAAGGACUUACACGCGUGAGACUGGGUCGGCAGGGCAGAGGAGGGUUGUUGUUUGUUUUUUUUUUUGAACGUGGCAUGGAGUGCAGAAAUAUUUUUUAAAGGAUAUUCGUUACAAGUCAAACCCUCAGCAGGGCAGACCGCAGCUGCGACUGACAGGAGAGUUCUGCAGAGGACGGGUAAGGACACUGUGCAGAAUCCGUUCAGUGUCAGCAGAGACCCUGGGCCUGGAGCAGGGUUCACUUGUGCUGGGGAGACCCCUGGCAGGAAAAGAACCUCAUGCCGCCUGCACCAACCAACAGGGCCUAGGGGUGCUGAGCCUGCACCCCUGGCUGUGACAGUUCUGGUUGCUGUGGGGAAAUUAGGGAAGCAUCCCCUCCUCACCUGCUGCCCUCUGCAGCGAAGAGGCCACUGGGGAGGGGAGCCGGGUGCUGCUCCAGGGCAGCGUGGAGGCACCGUGCGCAGUGUGGGCAGGAGAGCGCCUUGUCCCGCCACCCCGUGGGUCUGUGGCCUGGAGCGGCCCCCAGAGCCCACAUCCACCCACGGAAGAGGUCCCAAGGGCGGAAGAUGGGGGAGGAGAACACAGAGAAGACGGCCCCAGGUGAGAUUUAAAAGGCAGUCUCAGCUCUGUUGCUCUGUUCCCGAGGUUGUUUGUGAAGUUCGGCCUCAUGUUAGCCUCUCUUGGCCUGGGAGGCCAGGUGCAUGGGACUGCAGCACUGUUCUUUCCUGUGAUAUUGUAGAGAUUAAAGUUAAGUACUGUCAGCCAGCUGUGUGGUGCCCCUGUGUAAUCCCAGCGCUCAGGAGGCUGAGGCAGGAGGAGUGCCGUGAGUUCAAUGCCAGGCUGAAGUAUGUAGUGAGACCCUGUCUCGAAAAAAAUAAUCAAGUACUAGCUUUUAAAAGAAGCAUUAUAAAUGCAGGAGUAUAAUAUGCUAGUUUGGGAAAACUUGGUUGAAGAUAUCACUUUCUUAAACAUUUGCGUUUGAUUUUUUUCUGCUCUCUCCAUUCCUCCGCCAUUGCAACCUCAGGCCCUGGCGGCUAAGGCCCUGGGGAUGCAGGGCUGGGAGUUGCACGCUUUCAUGCUGCCACGCUGCACGUGCUUCUCCAUGUCACUGUGAACGCACUUUGGGUGAGCAUAUUGUAGAAGUCAGCCAUGGAUUAAAGCCAGGACUGCAGAAAGGCAGGAGGACAGGGAAGGGCCAGGGAGGCAGGGAGAAGACCUGGUCAGGCGGCUCUGCUGGGCCCUGGCCCGGGCCCUUCCCCCCUCUGCGUCUCUGCUCCGGCAGACCGGGUGCAGUGUUCUGGGCCCCUCCACCCGCGCUGCCUUCCCUGCAGCCCCAGAACGGGAUCUCCACACACACUGCCCGCUCACCACCCCUGCACAGUGGACGAGGUCUUGGCCUGGCUCACUUGGGAAUCGCCAGACCUCCCCGUGUUCACUCCACUCCGACCUGUUCACUGGAGGCCGGGACGGGAGCAGAGGGCUGGCGCCUGCUGCACCCCGCUCCCUGCGCUGGGCACCCUGACCUCUCACCUCCUGCACACAGCAGGCCACCUCCCAGGCCAGCGCCCCCUCCUUGGAGGCUUCAACCUCAAGACUCUUGUGCUGCUGCCUCCUGGCUGCUGAGGCAGCCACUUCCAGGGACGCUGGCUCUCCCUUCCUGCCCCCACCCUGCCCGGCACGCUUGGCACUGUGGGCAUAGGACAGGCACCGAGCAGAUGCAUGGACGCAUGUGUGACUGGCCCUUGGCAACUCACCUUUCUGCCAAAAGCGAUAGCAGGGCUUGUGGGUGAGAAACAACGAUGACGUGGACGCCUGCGUACAGUCCCCACUGCCUGCUGCUCCGGCGGCCUCCCCACACCUGGUCAUUGCUACGUUUCCAUCUGAUGUUUUCCGGAUGACCCCCACAGCCUCAGGACAUCUUCAGUGGGGCUGCAGGGAGGCGACUGCAUUGUGGGGGCUGAUGGCUGGCUUGCUGUUGGGAGGGGCCGUUGGAGGACACAGGUCACUGGGGGCGUGGCCCAGAAGGGUCUGCCUUCCUCCCUCAUCUCCCUGCUUCAUCUACACCCUGCCACGAGCAGCUCUCCUCUGCCAGGCCCCUCUGGCCUGCACCCUGCCUCGGAGCCAGCUGACUAUGGACUGAAGCCUCCACAGACUGGGAACCGACAUAAACCUCUCCUUAUAGUUGAGGCUGUCCAGUGUCGUGUUCUAGCAACAAAACAGGUGACUAAGACAGUCACGGCCACUGCAAGGAAGCCGGUCCAAGCACAUCACUCCUUGGCAGCCCCAAGUUUUAAGACCAACAGAUACAGACAUUUAAAAUCACAUUUAAUUCUAAAAUUCCCCGCUUGGCAAUCCAAUCUUGGAGGACAGGAAUUGCCCCCUGACCUUCCUGCCCCCAGCACAUGGCUGUGAACUGAGUGAAUGAUGAAGUGCAUGUUGACAUUUGGGAAGAGGAAACUUAAGAGCAAACCGGACUUGGAGGAUAUUUUCAAUACAAAUUCAGAGCGGGCCUGUGUUAGAAACCAAUGUAAAAAGUCAUGUAGGCCCCAGCAAGGUUUUCAUAGACUGCGUGAGCUUAUGCUUAAGUAAGCAUGCAAAAGCUAAGGCUUCAGAAGAGCUCAAAGAGCUUUUAAGCAGCAGAAGAGAGUGGGAGGACUCAGCCUACCUGACCCUGAGAUGAGUGGAUGUCAACAUGAGGAUCGGUUUGUGGUGGAGGGGUGGACACAGGCCAGCAGAGCAGAGCGGACAACCCAGAGGGGCCUGUGCUCACGGGGCCCCAUUAGUUAUUUCCUAGCUCUGGGUUUGAGCCCAGGGCGUCACACCUGCGAGGUCCGGCCUCCAUCACUGAGCCCGCCCCCAGCCCCAUUUGCUUUUUGCGGGGGAGGGAUUCAGCCUUUUUAGCAACUGGAGCUGGAGCAAAGGGGCAACACUAAGACAGCAAGUUUUACAAAAGAGUUUCUUCACACAGCCAGGCGUGGAGGAGGAGAGCCAGGCUCAGCCUCCUCCCAGAGGGCAGGGCUUAGGGACAUUCAUGGAAGGAGUAGGAUGGCCUAAGGCGUGGGGAGGCCAGGGGCACAGGGGAGGUUGGCGGUGGGCUGCACGGCUCCUCAGAGGACACACGUCUGGAUAACACGGCACUGACAGAGCAGAGGGUGCAGCUCUUGACCCCUGGGUGUUGAAGAAGUCAUCUGUGACCCUGCACAGCCCCAUGCUCAGAGCUGGGGCCCUGCCAAGGUAGCCGGGCAGCCCAGAUGCCCAUUGCCUACCCUCCAGCUGGUCACCUGCAGAGGAGGUGGCUGGUCAGUGACACCAUGCGCAUCUUCCUGACCUCCAAAAUGCAAGACUUUCAAAGUCACCUAAAAGCAAGUAACAAUGCAAGUGUCCCUCAGUUUCAGACCUGCAGUUCCCUGCUUGACCGCCGGACCCUGCUCCUGAAGAGAGGAGUCGCUGGGUGCGGCCUCUCAAUGUCAGGCGUCUUUGCAGAGAGCCGCCCUCCCGGAGAGGUGCUCACGGGGGCCUGGACCUGGCCUGCGUCCUGCCGGUGAGCGGCACUGUGUGCAGGUGGACUGCGCUUCAUCACCCUUUGGCUGCUUUAGACUUGUGAGCUGUUCCCAGUGCUCGGGCUGUUUUGGAAAACAGACGAACACUGCUUUGACUUCUUAGUGCAGCCCUCUAUGACAACUUUUCAUUCAUCCUGGGUGAAACCCUAGGAGUGGAGCAGGUCAUCAGAGUCUGGCCUAUUUUGCCGACCACGACAAUCUUCAGUUCUACCCAUUGCUGGCAGCUGACAUGAUUUCCUGUUCGUUAUGGCUGAGGGCUUCUCGGCUCCAGUCUUACCCACUUUUCUCUGUCAGUUCACCUUUGGACAGACACCUACCUGAUUCCCCAACCUGGGCGUUCGGUUUUGAAAAGCUGCCAGGUUGUUGCCUGAGCCGGGCCGAUGUGGCAGAGCUCCAUCGCUGCUCUCUGGCCUGCACCUGGCGUGGUUGGCUUUUCAGCUGGGGCCGUCCUGGGUCCUGGUGGGCACUUCCUUAGGUCCCGAAUCUCUGGCCUCCCCUCGUCAUGGGGUCAGCCAGACGGACUGUGUGUCUGUUUCCCUGUCCCUGAAUGCUGUGGCAUUUGAAGGCUGACGGCUCAGCUGUCCUUCCAGGGCCAGGACCUGGUGGAGGUGGCAGGCUCAGCUGGCAGCACAACAUUCACGUGCAGUCCAGGCGACACCAGGUGUGUACCCCUGCCUCCCCACAGGCCGACUCCUAAUUCCCCGGCCAGAAUCGGCCCCAGGAAUCAGACAGCUGGAGGCCACUGGCGGGACCCAGAGCCAGCAGCCGGCACUCCGAGGAGCUGGCCAAGCCACCGAGGGCCCUGCCUGCCCGGAGGGGACCCCUGGUUCUGUUCCCUGGUUCUGCCUUGCCAGUGCCGGGUCCCGUGGGCUGCUUGCCUCCUGAUGUCCUCCAGAGAAACCAAGCAGUGCCCCGUCCUCUAAGCACCAGUCUCUCUGUGGUGCUGUCACCGGGCACGCGGCCCCGAGGGCACUCUUGGAGCACAGGGCAUCUCCUGUGGCAGGGCUGAAUUUCCAAGUGACUCACGGCAUCCAUCCACCUUCCCUGCCACCUCUGUCCCCUCUUUUGGCCCUGUAAUCCCCCUCAGAAGGGUUUUCCCGCGCUAUGCUCACCCUCCUUUCUCAGUGCAUGCCUUACAAAGAUUUCCCCCACCUGGGGUUGGUCUUCUCAGUCUUUAACUCUUAUCCACAGAGUUAUUCAGCAGGCAAAGCUUUCAAUUUUGGUAAACUCUGGGUUACAAAAUCUUUCCUUUUGCCGUGUGUGUACAUGUGUAUUCUAUUCAAGAAGUAUUUGCCUAUCCACGGCCUCAGACUUUCUCCAGUAUAACUCACAGGAGUUUUUAGGGUUUAACUCUUCAUUUAGGCCUGUUAUGAUUGUCACUUUGGAAUAUUUUAAGGUGUGUGAUAAGGGUUAGAGUUUAUCCUCUUUGCAUACAAUAUCACUUACUAGUAUUUUAUAAAAUUAGUUUGGAAAUUCCUAGUCCUGUGCAUUACGUGUAAAUUUUGAGUUAGCUUUUCAGCUUCUAUGAAGGGGCUACUCAAGUUGGAUUGGCAUUUAACUGAUGACAUCAUUUUGUGGAGAAUUACUCUCAAAAAUAUUGACUCAUUUAAGCCAUAAAGACUAUAUACAUUUCCUCUUUUUUAAGUCAUUUAAAAUUUUUCUCAGGAAUGCUUUAUGGUUUAGUAUACAGAUUUUGAACAUAGUUAUUAAAGUUAUUCAGUAUUUUAUUCUAUCAUUUAUUUACUUAUGCUUUUAGAAAUGUUUUUUUGCAAUAAUUUUCAAAUUGUUCAUUGUGAAUAUGUAUGGGUAUACACAUGUUUUUUGUAUGUUCACCAUGUGUUCUCCAGUGUGGCUAAUUUCAGUUAUUAGUCAGGUUAUCUUUUCUAUAGGUUUGUACAAAAUUCUACAUCAACGAUUAUGUUGUGUGUGCAUGAAGAAAUUCCCUCUUCCCUUUCUCAUCUGUCCACUGCCCUCACUGGGAUGCCAGCAUCCUGGGGGAAGGUGAGGGUCCCUUGUCCCUGCCCAGCUGGUGCCUGCUCUGGCCCUGAGAGGCAUCCUGAGCAGGUGAGAACAUUCCCUUCACUUGAUCACCAAGUGCUGUUACCAUGAACGGAGCUUCACUUUUCUGGGCAAUUACUUUUCUCCAUCUACUGAGAUAUAUUUUUCUAUGUAAAUCUACUUCCUUAAUGUAUGACAUUAAUUGAUUUUCAAAUGUUAAAUUAACCUUGCAUUCCUGGAAUUAACUCCAGUUGGCUGUGGUUAAAUUGCCAUUUUACAGGCCAGUGUCUCUUACAGACACAGAAAUAAAAAUUCUCCGACAUAGGAGCGAAUUGAGUUCAGUAAUGUAUUAAAGGAUAACAUAUGAUGUGUAAAUGGAUUUAUUGUAGGAAUUUUGAAAAGUCAGUCAAUGUAAUUUUCCUAUUAGCUGAAUAAAGGAGAAAAAUCUAAUGACCAUUUCAAUUGACGGUUUUGCCAAAAUGUAUAGCUUCUUCAUUAAGAACACUCAGGAAACUGAACACAGUAGAAUUUCCCAGACUUCUAAGGGAUACCAGUGGGCCAUCUCCAGCAAUGCCAUUGUUGAUUAUGAAGCUGUGGACACUCGUCUGGUCUGGGAGCAAAGUAAGGAUGCCCUCUUCUGUGAAGCCUCGGAGAGAAGGCCUUAGUGAACAAACCAGAUGAAGUUCAGAAAGGUUUCCUAGUCAUCCAUCCAAAAUCCUAAGGAGUCCACAAAUGUCUACUAGGAUUGGUCCGUGAAUACAGCAUGGUUAUAGGACACAAAGCUCACGGUUGAAAGAGAUCAAUUAUAUUUCUACAAAAGGGUAAUAGGCAACACAUAAUAGGGACAUUUAAUUUUUAAAUGGCAUUUACAAUAUUAUAAAAAUAUUAAACUAAUAGGAAUAAAUUAAAUCAGCUAUGAUGCAUGAAAACGCAUGAGAAACUGUGCAGUAAUGCAGAGAGUAAUUGAAGGGGGUGAAAUUUGCCAUGAGACACAGUCCUGGAGAUGAGCACGUGUGGGGAGAUGGGUCCCCAGCUCCUAGGCAGACCGCAGAGCCGAUCCAAGUCCAGUAAGCUUUUCUGUGGAAACCAAUGGAGUUGACUCCAAAUACAGUAGUAAGCAGUUUGCAAAAGGAAGAGCCGACCUGGAGAGCUUAUGACUUGGUUUCUUGCCUGGCCCUGAAAUGACAGUGACUUUCCCAGUGUGAUGCUGGGGAAGGUAGACGAGGGAUCAGAGCAGAGCUGGAGCCCAGGAGAGACCCCUUCCUGUGGCAUAAAUGGGCUGGUGCCAGAGCACCUCAGUAUCCCUGUGCAAAGAGCAGGUGAUCGCGUUCCUAGCUCGCAUACCUACAGAAUUACAGAGGCCUCUCUGUCUAUGAGCCCUGCUGUUGGUGAACAACUAGCUUCACAAACAGAAGCAGUUGGCAGAAUUUUGUUUGGUGUGCAAACUGCACCGGGUGGCAGAUAGGACUGAGGCCAUCUUUCCCCUACUCACACGAACGUGGCUGUCUUUUCCAGAAUCGUGGAAUGAAUUAAGUUUGUGAACUGAGGUACCACUGUAUUUUUAAAUGGAUUGUAGAUCCAAAUGUCAAAGCCAAACUGUAAAACAUCUAGAAAACUACAGAAGUAAAACUUUGCAAUUUUGAAAUACGCAGGGUUUUUGUUUUAGACCCAAACAUUUUCCUAAAUGGAAAAUGGCAUAAAUUGAUUUCAAAAAAAUUCUCUUUGGAUGGAAAAUAAAAUGAAAAGGCAAACCACAAUAGAGGAAUAUAUAAUUAUAUGCAAAAUAUAGUAUUCUAGUGUAUAGUGUAAUUUUGAUACAGUAUAUAACUAUUAUAUAAUUAUUGCUUAAUAAUAUAGUAUGUUUUUAACAAGAGAUUUGUUUAUAUGAACUCAUCUUAAAUCUCAAUAAAUUCUAGCACUUGGGAGGCUGAGGCAGGAGGAUUGCCCAGAGUUCAAGGCCAGCCUGGGCUACAUGGUAAGUUUAGGGCCAGCCUGAACUACAAAGCAAGACCCUGUCUCAAAAGACCGAAAAACCAAAACCAAAGCAAAACAAAACAAAACUUCAACCCUAAUAAGAUCACAAUAAGCCUAACAGAAAUUUCACAAGUCCUAAACAGAUACUUGUCAAAACAAGAUAUAAAAUGAACAAUAAGUAUUUAAACUGGUUAGGAUUUUCAAUGAUAAGAGAAAUAUAAAUU